GGUAGCGUGGCCGAUUGGUCUAAGGAGUUGGAUUAAGGCUCCAGUCUCUUCGGGGUCGUGGGUUCAAAUUCCACUGCUGCCA
rfam:Oreochromis niloticus linkage group LG17, whole genome shotgun sequence.